UACGAAGGGGGCUAGCGUUGCUCGGAAUCACUGGGCGUAAAGGGUGCGUAGGCGGGUCUUUAAGUCAGGGUGAAAUCCUGGAGCUCAACUCCAGAACUGCCUUUGAUACUGAGGAUCUUGAGUCCGGAGAGGUGAGUGGAACUGCGAGUGUAGAGGUGAAAUUCGUAGAUAUUCGCAAGAACACCAGUGGCGAAGGCGGCUCACUGGCCCGGUACUGACGCUGAGGCACGAAAGCGUGGGGAGCAAACAGG
rnacentral:rRNA from 1 species